UCCGCGUUACUGCCUCCUCUACCACGUCUUCUUUGUCUUUAACUUUGAUUUGCGGUAGAUUGACAAAGGAUGAAUUCUCCUUCGCAAACUGCAUCCGCAUGAGGAGAUCAGCACUAUGCUUCUUCUCAAAUCGGUGGUCGGAGAAGCGCUGGCGAGCAUGUUGUAUCUGCUGAAGAUCUUCCGGGGAUCCGAGUUCGGGAUGGAAAUGCCAGACUUGGCGACCCACGUGGUUGUUGAGGGUUG
rnacentral:misc_RNA from 1 species